rnacentral:pre_miRNA from 1 species
CAAGUACUCCCUCCGUCCGGAAUUACUUGUCAUCAAAAUGGAUGUGUCUAGAACUAAAAAUACAUCUAGAUACAUCCAUUUCAAUAACAAGUAUUUUCGGACGGAGGGAGUACAAG